UACGUAGGUGGCAAGCGUUAUCCGGAAUUAUUGGGCGUAAAGCGCGCGCAGGCGGUUUCUUAAGUCUGAUGUGAAAGCCCACGGCUCAACCGUGGAGGGUCAUUGGAAACUGGGGAACUUGAGUGCAGAAGAGAAGAGCGGAAUUCCACGUGUAGCGGUGAAAUGCGUAGAGAUGUGGAGGAACACCAGUGGCGAAGGCGGCGUUUUUGGUCUGUAACUGACGCUGAGGCGCGAAAGCGUGGGGGAGCAAAC
rnacentral:rRNA from 1 species